rnacentral:rRNA from 1 species
AUACGGAGGGUGCAAGCGUUGUCCGGAUUUAUUGGGUUUAAAGGGUGUGUAGGCGGUGUAUUAAGUCAGUGGUGAAAGCCUGCGGCUCAACCGUAGAACUGCCAUUGAUACUGACACACUUGAGUAUGGACGAGGUAGGCGGAAUUUAUGGUGUAGCGGUGAAAUGCGUAGAUACCAUAAAGAACACCGAUAGCGAAGGCAGCUUACUAGGCCAUAACUGACGAAGAGGCACGAAAGCGUGGGGAGCGAACAGGAUUAGAAACCCCAGUAGUCC